UUCUUCGUUUGAACCUCGGCGGCGGGCCAAUUGUACGCCGCCUUCUAGCCUCAACCCCGCCCCUCCGGCGCCGCCUCCCUAACGGCUGUUUGUUUUUGCACACGGCACGUGGAGGCGGGGCCUCCAGCCCCAACUUUGACGCGCUCUCCGCCUCUCAUUGUUGGCGGAGUUCUGACGAGCGGAGGAACGGACCAAUGAGAGAGGAGGAAAGCCAAUGAAAACAUUGUCGGCACCGCAGGCGGAGGAUGGGAACAGCGGCAGGUUUCAGUGGGUGAGUUCAUGGACAACAUGGUGGAGAGCAUGGCAUCAAGCAAGCAUGGCAUUGAAGGAGGAGCUGAGAGCUUACAGCUGAACCAGAAGCAGGAGGCAGAGAGCAGACUGGGCCUGGCUUUUGAGACCUCCAAGUCCACCUUCAGAAAACCUCCUCUGAAGCCACACCUCAUUGUCCUUCCCAAACAGUCCACCAACUGGGAAGCAAACAUUCAAAUACAUGAGUAUAGGGGCCUUUCUCACUCAGACCAUCACAUUCCACUCCCUGCUCCCCAAAGGCUUGGAGCCACAUCAUGAUGCAAAAUGGUUUGUUUUUUGAGACAGUGUUUCUCUGUGUAGCCUUGGCUGUGCUGGACUGGUUUGUAGACCAGGCUUGCCUGGAACUCACAGUGAUCCGCCUGUCACUGCCUUCCUGAGUGAUGGGAUUAAAAGCAUCCACCACCACACCCAGCUUGCAAAAUGUGUUUAAUCCAACUUCAAAGAUUCCUAUAAUUUUCUUACAGUCUCAACAUAGUUUUAAAGCUCAAAGUCUCUUCUGAGACUCAAGGUAAUCUCUUGACUGUAAAGCCCUGUAAAAUUAAAAUCAAAACAAAGUACAUAUUUGUAA